rnacentral:rRNA from 1 species
UACGUAGGUGACAAGCGUUGUCCGGAUUUACUGGGCGUAAAGAGCGCGCAGGCGGUCGUUCAAGUCGAGUGUGAAAGCCCCCGGCUCAACUGGGGAGGGUCAUUCGAUACUGAUCGACUCGAAGGCAGGAGGGGGUAGUGGAAUUCCCGGUGUAGUGGUGAAAUGCGUAGAUAUCGGGAGGAACACCAGUGGCGAAGGCGACUACCUGGCCUGUUCUUGACGCUGAGGCGCGAAAGCUAGGGUAGCAAACGGG